CACGACGUAUGUUACCUGUUAGAGAAAUGGAGGGUAUGCUUGUUAACGAAUAUGGAAGCAACUCAAGUUUUCAGUUUCCUGGAUUUUGCAUGCGUCAAAUGCAUAAAGAUGAAGAUGAAGAAGGGAGUGAUUCUGAUAGGGGGAACUUUGAGGCUGUCACUCCCGAGCGAAAAAAAAUAAGGCUGGCCCUAUAAGCCAAGCCUUUAUUUUGGUACGUGAGACCCACUGGUCACAGCCUCAGGUAGCACAUACUUCAAUAAAAAGUCGAAAUAUGUUUGUCAAGGCUCCCGGGGAUGAAGAAGAUCGUGUAUGUUUCAGAGUCUUUCCAAACACCACGGUGGGGUGGUUUUGCUGGAUCAUUUCCUACCUACGUGAAGUGCCUGAGCAGCUUAUGGUACCCGUGUUGCUGAAUGAGGUUGAGAAUAACGCUAUAAUAAUACACGAUGACGAGCGUCGCUGAUGUCAUUUUCAGGCGUAAGCUAUACUUUAGUUUUCCGAACCACCCACUAGUACCACCGCAACAACCAGUCGCCUGUACUUCAGCUACCCAAACCACCCGCAACAACCAGUGAUCCAUGAUGUGAUCCAUGAUGGGAGGGUGGGGGUGGGGAAGUGAAGUAAUAGAUUCUUGUGCUCUCCUUGGAAAAAGGAUUCUGGUGCUGUGGGUGGUUUGUAAAACUGAAGUAUAGCCUACGCCUCAAGGCAUUAGCAAGCAAACAAGAGAGACUCAAAUUAAUAGUAUGAUUUUGGUUGAUUUCCGAAUUCUUACCGUUUUUUUCCCUUCAUAUUAUUAGUAUAAUUCAAUUCAAUACAGGGAACAAAUUUUUAUAGGUAACUAACUGAUAUAGUUAAAGUGAAUAAAAAAAAGUAUAGACUUUAUGGGCGAACAUGAAGCCCAAUUA